AUUGAACGCUGGCGGCAGGCUUAACACCUGCAAGUCGAGCGGAGUGAUGGUGCUUGCACUAUCACUUAGCGGCCGAUGGGUGAGUAAUGCUUAGGAAUCUGCCCCUUAGUGGGGGACAACAUCUCGCAAGGGAUGCUAAUACCGCACACGUCCUACGGGAGACAGCAGGCGGUCACUUGUGACCUUGCGCCAACAGCUGCGCCUAAGUCGGAGUAGCUAGCUGGUGGGGUAAAGGCCUACCAAGGCGACGAUCUGUAACUGGUCUGAGAGGAUGAUCAGUCACACUGGAACUGAGACACGGUCCAGACUCCUACGGGAGGCAGCAGUGGGGAAUAUUGGACAAUGGGGGCAACCCUGAUCCAGCCAUGCCGCGUGUGUGAAGAAGGCCUUAGGGUUGUAAAGCACUUUCAGUGGGGAGAAAAGUGAUUCACCUAAUACGUGAGUCAAUUUAUGUUACCCACAGAAGAAGCACCGGCUAACUCCGUGCCAGCAGCCGCCGCCG
rnacentral:rRNA from 1 species